GCUUGUUCGUGCAGUCAUAGACACGCAUCGUAAGACCAAUAUAACUAAAUUACAAAGUGUGCAGAGGAACACAGCCAGGAUGGCUAUGGGCUUCAAGAUGAAGCUACGCCAUUAUCGGUUGAAGAAACUGAGGAUGUAUAGGCAAAAGAACAAAAAUUCAGACUGAGCUGGAGGUGUUUUAUUUAUCGGUUGGGACUUCAUUGGCAGCAAUGGGUGACUUUGAAGGUGAAGGUGAAGAGAAGUGAAGGACAGGUCUUUCUCAGGUAUGCUCAGUGCCAAUUAAUGACACAGAAAGCAAGGAAAAAUGAGAAGUGGGUCCUGGCUGCUGAGGAACCUGGAUCACAGGAGGUAGAGAUACACGGAGCCAGCCGACAUCCCCUGUUCAAAGACAAAUGCCUUUUGUCUUCUGGUGGUUCCCUUAUCUCUCUAGCAGUACAUACCUACUCGAUGGAGCCUCAGCGUGGCCUCCAAUCCUGCCAUCCUUCACAGGAGCAAGACGCAGAAUCUCAAACCCUCAAGGUGUGGAAGAAGCACAGGGAGUCCAAAGCAAGGCCAAUCAAGAUUCCCUGGUCAGCCAGCCUUUGCCUGAAGAAUUAGAAUUAGAGAAGAACCUUUCACCUCCAGAGGUGGCCUGUUCUACUUUUGGACAGCUCUGAUUGCUACUACAACUCUUCUUCAAAGAAGCCACUCCUCCCUUUUUGGGCAAUUUUUAAUCGUGCCUUGUUA
rnacentral:lncRNA from 1 species